rnacentral:lncRNA from 1 species
GCACAUAAAAACACACCCUACAGAUAGGGCUAGAUUUUUCAAAUGCAAGCGCAGCAAGAGGGGACAUGUGUAGAUUCUCCGGUUAACCCUAGUACAUGCUCAAAUCUAGUUCAAACAGGAAUUAACACUGUCACCGGAGGUAUUUUAUAUUACGAUCCAAAUAAGGAUCGUGAAGAAUUAGCAAAAAUGAUUACUGUUAUGUGCUUG